GGGGAGUACGUUCGCAAGAAUGAAACUCAAAGGAAUUGACGGGGGCCCGCACAAAGCGGAGGAACAUGUGGUUUAAUUCGAUGAUACGCGAGGAACCUUACCCGGGCUUGAAAUGCAGAAGACCGACGAAGAAAUUCGUUUUCCAGCAAUGGCUUCUGUGUAGGUGCUGCAUGGUUGUCGUCAGCUCGUGCCGUGAGGUGUCGGCUUAAGUGCCAUAACGAGCGCAACCCUUAUCAUUAGUUACUAACAGGUUAAGCUGAGGACUCUAAUGAGACUGCCACCGUAAGGUGUGAGGAAGGUGGGGAUGACGUCAAAUCAGCACGGCCCUUACGUCCGGGGCGACACACGUGUUACAAUGGGGGGUACAGAGGGUCGCUACCACGCGAGUGGAUGCUAAUCUCAUAAAGCCUCUCUCAGUUCGGAUCGGAGUCUGCAACUCGACUCCGUGAAGCUGGAUUCGCUAGUAAUCGCGCAUCAGCCAUGGCGCGGUGAAUACGUUCCCGGGCCUUGUACACACCGCCCGUCAAGCCAUGGAAGCUGGGGGGACCUGAAGUACGUAACCGCAAGGAGCGUCCUAGGGUAAAACUAGUAACUGGGGCUAAGUGGUAACAAGGUAACCAAGGGCGAA
rnacentral:rRNA from 1 species